AUUGAACGCUGGCGGCAGGCCUAAUACAUGCAAGUCGAGCGGACGAACGGAGCUUGUUCUUGGCUUCAGCGGCGGACGGGCGAGUGAUUCCUAGGAAUCUGCCCGGCCUAGGGGGCUAACGUCCGUUAACGGGCGCUAAUACCGCACACGUUCAUAUGGUGAACGUGGGGGUUCUUUAGUCCUCGCCGUUUUUGCUGAGCCUGAGACGGAUUAGCUAGUUGGUGAGGUAAGGGCCUACCAAGGCGACGAUCCGUAACUGAUCUGAGAGGGUGAUCAGCCACACUGGAACUGAGACACGGUCCAGACUCCUACGGGAGGCAGCAGUAGGGAAUAUUGCACAAUGGGCGAAAGCCUGAUGCAGCAAUGCCGCGUGAGUGAUGAAGGUCUUCGGAUUGUAAAGCUCUGUUAUUAGGGAAGAACAACUGUGUAAGAAACCAUGCAUGUCUUGACGUUACCAACAGAGAAAGCACCGGCUAACUUCGUG
rnacentral:rRNA from 1 species